UACGGGGGGAGCAAGCGUUGUUCGGAUUUACUGGGCGUAAAGGGCGCGUAGGCGGUUCGCUAAGUUGGAUGUGAAAACUCUGGGCUCAACCCAGAGCCUGCAUCCAAAACUGGCGGGCUAGAGUUCUGGAGGGGGUAGCGGAAUUCCUGGUGUAGCGGUGAAAUGCGUAGAUAUCAGGAGGAACACCGGUGGCGAAGGCGGCUACCUGGACAGAAACUGACGCUGAGGCGCGAAAGCUAGGGGAGCAAACAGG
rnacentral:rRNA from 1 species